rnacentral:lncRNA from 1 species
AAGACCGUGGGUAGCUGCGGCGGGGCUGACCCGUCCCGAGUGCCAAAGCUGGGGUUCUACUUGAGAUUUCCCUCGUGGUGCCAGGGUCCGGCGAGCAUCACGCCGAGGCCCAUUUUCCAGACGACCACGACGAGGCCGGGGUCACGAACUCUGGCGCCCCUUACCAGCUUCCAGUCUCUCGAGGUGGCCAGUGUGGUGCUUGGUCCUUGUUUCCAGGAUGGACUUCCCCAGCUCCCUCCGCCCUGCAUUGUUUCUGACCGGCCCCCUUGGUCUGAGCGACGUCCCUGACCUCUCUUUCAUGUGCAGCUGGCGAGACGCACUGACUCUGCCAGAGGCCCAGCCCCAGAACUCAGAGAUCCCUGGGACCCUGGCCUGACUGCCCGGGACCUGCUUUUCCGCGGAGGGUGCCGGUAUCGGAAGCGGCCCCGAGUCGUGCUGGAUGUGACUGAGCAGAUCAGCCGGUUCCUCUUGGAUCAUGGAGACGUAGCCUUUGCGCCCCUGGGGAAGCUGAUGCUGGAGAAUUUCAAGCUGGAGGGAGCGGGGAGCCGCACUAAG